rnacentral:rRNA from 1 species
AGCGAACGCUGGCGGCGUGCCUAAUACAUGCAAGUAGAACGCUGAAGGAAGGAGCUUGCUCUUUCCGGAUGAGUUGCGAACGGGUGAGUAACGCGUAGGUAACCUGCCUGGUAGCGGGGGAUAACUAUUGGAAACGAUAGCUAAUACCGCAUAACAGUAGAUAUCGCAUGAUAGCUGCUUGAAAGGUGCAAAUGCACCACUACCAGAUGGACCUGCGUUGUAUUAGCUAGUUGGUGAGGUAACGGCUCACCAAGGCAACGAUACAUAGCCGACCUGAGAGGGUGAUCGGCCACACUGGGACUGAGACACGGCCCAGACUCCUACGGGAGGCAGCAGUAGGGAAUCUUCGGCAAUGGACGGAAGUCUGACCGAGCAACGCCGCGUGAGUGAAGAAGGUUUUCGGAUCGUAAAGCUCUGUUGUAAGAGAAGAACGAGUGUGAGAGUGGAAAGUUCACACUGUGACAGUAUCUUACCAGAAAGGGACGGCUAACUACGUGCCAGCCGCCGCGGUAA